GAUCCUGGCUCAGGAUGAACGCUAGCUACAGGCUUAACACAUGCAAGUCGAGGGGCAGCAUGGUCUUAGCUUGCUAAGGCCGAUGGCGACCGGCGCACGGGUGAGUAACACGUAUCCAACCUGCCGUCUACUCUUGGACAGCCUUCUGAAAGGAAGAUUAAUACAAGAUGGCAUCAUGAGUCCGCAUGUUCACAUGNUUAAGGUAAUCGUGACGAUGGGAG
rnacentral:rRNA from 1 species